GUCUUCGUGGCUCAGUUGGCUAGAGCGUUGGUCUCAUAUUCGUAUGAUUCAGUCUUAGACUGGGCUAUCCAAAGGUCGUGAGUUCGAGCCUCACCGAGGACA
rnacentral:tRNA from 2 species